rnacentral:rRNA from 1 species
UUCUAGUUUUUCUUAGCUAGUAAACUCUGCUCAGUGAUCAAAAUAAACAGCCGCAGAAUUUUAACUGUGCUAAGGUAGCAUAAUCAUUUGUUCUAUAAUAGAGAACUGGGAUGAAAGAGUUAACAACAUUUUAACUAUUUAGGUUUAUUAUUAGAAAUUGAUAUCUAUAUUAAAAAGUAUAGCUGAGCUAGAAAGACGAUAAGACCCUAUAAAACUUUAUGAUAAAAGUAAAUUAUAGAGCAGGAGAGGAUUUAUGAAUAUAUUAUUAAGCUGGGGCGGUAAUUACAAAACUUUAAAAAAUAAAACAGAAAUUUAUGAAAGGUUAUAUCUUAAAAAGAUUUAGAGUUACUUUAGGGAUAACAGCGUAAUUUUAUAUAAUAUUAGUGUUAUUUAAAGACUUACGACCUCGAUGUUGAAUUGAGGGGCCAUUUUAUUUUAAACGUGGAGGUCUGUUCGACCUUUAAUUCCUC